GUUGUAUUCCCUCCGUCCCAAAAUUCUUGUCUUACAUUUGUUUAUAUACAGAUGUAUCUAACACUAAAAUGUAACUAGAUACAUCCGUAUUUAGACAAAUUUAAGACAAGAAUUUUGGGACGGAGGGAGUACAAA
rnacentral:pre_miRNA from 1 species